rnacentral:rRNA from 1 species
UACAGAGGUCCCGAGCGUUGUUCGGAUUCACUGGGCGUAAAGGGUGCGUAGGCGGCGCGGUAAGUCGGGUGUGAAAUCUUGGAGCUUAACUCCGAAACUGCAUUCGAUACUGCCGUGCUUGAGGACUGGAGAGGAGACUGGAAUUUACGGUGUAGCGGUGAAAUGCGUAGAUAUCGUAAGGAAGACCAGUGGCGAAGGCGGGUCUCUGGACAGUUCCUGACGCUGAAGCACGAAGGCCAGGGGAGCAAACGGG